AUCAAAAACAUUUCUCUAAGAACAUUAUUUAAAGUAAGACCUGCUCAAUGACAACUCAAAUAAAUAGCCGCAGCUUAUCUGUGCUAAGGUAGCAUAAUAAUUUGCUUUUUAAUUAAAAGAUAGAAUGAAGGGUUACACACUAAAAGCAUGUUUCUCUCAGACCUAAUUAACUUAAAAUUAAAGUCAAAAUACUUUUAAAUACAGCGGGACGACAAGACCCUGAUAAACUUAACAUUUAGUUGGGGAAACACGUUAAAAAGACUUUAACACUCAAAACUACUCAACUUUAAAAUAAAAUCAAGAUUAGUUACUACAGGGAUAACAGCGCUAUUUCUUUUAAGAGACCCUAUCUAAAAAGAAGUUUACGACCUCGAUGUUGAAUUAAUCACCCUAUAAAGUGCAACAGCUUAUAUAAGGCAGUCUGUUCGACUAUCAAAAGAUUACAUGAUUUGAGUUCAGAUCGGUGAAAGCCAGAUCGGUUUCUAUCUGCUUCUAUAAAACUAAUAGUACGAAAGGACCUUAGUUUAUGAUAAAAU
rnacentral:rRNA from 1 species